CACCGCGGUUAUACGAGAGGCCCAAGUUGUUAGUCACCGGCGUAAAGCGUGGUUAGAAUAGACAUAACACUAAAGCCGAAAACUUUCAAGGCUGUUAUACGCACCCGAAAGUAAAAAGACCAAUAACGAAAGUAGCUUUAUUUAUUUGAACCCACGAAAGCUAUGGCA
rnacentral:rRNA from 1 species